rnacentral:rRNA from 1 species
UACGUAGGGUGCAAGCGUUGUCCGGAAUUAUUGGGCGUAAAGAGCUCGUAGGCGGUCUGUCGCGUCGGCUGUGAAAACUCGGGGCUCAACCCCGAGCCUGCAGUCGAUACGGGCAGACUAGAGUGCUGUAGGGGAGACUGGAAUUCCUGGUGUAGCGGUGAAAUGCGCAGAUAUCAGGAGGAACACCGAUGGCGAAGGCAGGUCUCUGGGCAUUAACUGACGCUGGAGGAGCGAAAGCAUGGGGAGCGAACAGG